AACGAACGCUGGCGGCAGGCUUAACACAUGCAAGUCGAACGGACGUAGCAAUACGUUAGUGGCAGACGGGUGAGUAACGCGUGGGAAUAUGCCCUUUAGUUCGGAAUAACCAAGGGAAACUUUGGCUAAUACCGGAUAAUCCCGAGAGGGGAAAGAUUUAUCGCUGAAGGAGUAGCCCGCGUCUGAUUAGCUAGUUGGUGAGGUAAUGGCUCACCAAGGCGACGAUCAGUAGCUGGUCUGAGAGGAUGAUCAGCCACACUGGGACUGAGACACGGCCCAGACUCCUACGGGAGGCAGCAGUGGUGAAUAUUGGACAAUGGGGGCAGCCCUGAUCCAGCCAUGCCGCGUGAGUGAUGAAGGCCUUAGGGUUGUAAAACUCUUUUAUCCGGGAAGAUAAUGACUGUACCGGAAGAAUAAGCCCCGGCUAACUUCGUGCCAGCAGCCGCCGCAGUAA
rnacentral:rRNA from 1 species